UCAGCACCUCGGAGACAACAAAGCUACGAUUUUGUUUCACCACGAUCGACCACGGAUUCACAACAAAAUCCAAACUUUCUCUCCAACAGAAGAAACUACGCACAAAAUACAUAUAAAACACGUAUUUUUGGAUUUUCUCGAAAUCCGUGCGUCAAACUCAGAAUCCGUCAGCGCCAUUAGUUCCAGAACAGCUGAACCGGUCGAAACGAGCUAUUGGACCGCUAGGAACGGAGUCCGAUACGAGCUGAAAGCCAACUUCACACCGUGGCUUCUCCGGAAAAUCGAGUUACUAUUCACUUUAAGUGAAACUUGGAAAUCGCGUAGAAUCUCCGUUUUAGCUCGAUUUCUCCCAAAAUUUGACGAGUGCUUUUGUAAUUAAAUUACACACAAAAACAUCGUCAACAGAGAGUUUAGUUGCACGGUCAAAAUCUCAGUCCUUACAUUAUCCCCCCCUUAAAAGAAGUUUCGUCCCCGAAACUUGACCACGUACCCACCGAAAUUGAAUUCAGAUAUUACUCCACCACUGUAAUAUCACCCUUGAGUACUGGUCAAUUACAUCUAGAUAUAUCAACUUCCGUAGAAAGGGGGAAAAAAAAAAUAGGACUGCGGUUCUACCUGGACAAAUCCAGGAAAAACGUACUAACCCAAAAUCUACGGACCAAAACUCACCGGGAUCAACACUAUCCUAUAACCUGCGGACAAAGACAGUCCCGCGACUAGGAUUAUCCGAUCCCAAAACUCCAAAUCUGAGACUAUACUUCAUCACUCCAAAAACUCUAGGUCCUCUCAACCUUGGUCCGCGUAACAGUAACCGACUCGACUACAUC
rnacentral:lncRNA from 1 species